GGGCUUUAAUGUGCUCAAAAAGUUGUAGGAGUUUGCAGUAAAUUCGAAGGCGGCGAAAAUUUACGUAUUCUGGAGUAUUUUGAAAAGGGCGUGGCAAAAUGGCUCAAGAGCGCCACCUACGGAAAAGCCCCUCAUUUAGCAUUCACCGAUCUUCAAAAAAAACAAAGACUAUUGUGUAUCAUGACUAGAUGCACAAAAAAGUCCAUCAGUGCAUUAUGAAUAACGCAACAGGAAGCCCGCCAGUUUGACUUUAGUGGCCAUUUUGGUCAUAUUCCAUAUUUUUGUUUUGAAGUACUCCUCCUACAGCUUUCAUCAAAUCAACUUACAAUUUAGACGAUCGUCAUCACAACAAAAUGGAGAUCUAAAGUUAUUGAAGGAUUAAGUUUUAGCAAAACCGUCUGACCGUGGUGUGGCCUCAAAGUUUGAUUAAACGCCAUCAAAACACGGGCUCCUGUAUCUUGGACAUAUUUUGUCCAAUCGAGUCCAAAAUAUACACAUAACACAAGAGUCGCGACUUGAAGACAUCGGUACAGAAAUCGUGACUUAAAAUCACAGCGUCCCCUGGUGGCAACAGCAAAUGUCUUGUUUUUCUAUGUGUUACAGUUUGAUUCACUACUCGUAGGGCCUUCAUUAAAUCAACGUAAAAAUUUGAUGCAUGUGUUCAAAACAAGAUGAAGAUCUAAAGUUAACGAAAUUGCAACUUUUCAUAAUACUGUGUGACCGUGGUGUGGCUUCCAGUUUGAGGAAUGAAAACAUCUAUAUCUGGCAGAUGUGCUGCAAUAUUUAGUCACUAGAUGGCAGUGUCAGACCAUGGAUUGUGUUAUCUAUGCAUUAACAGACUGUGUUUACAGGGUGGCCAACUUUAGAGGAGAAUUAAACCUUUUACAGCAUUGCUCAAACUUUGGUUUUAGUCUCAAUCGCUAAGUUCUUCCUUCAUGACAACUCUGAGGGGGGUGUAUUUUAUUUUAACUCCCUCGUUUAAGCGAUAUAGAUGUUUGAAAUUCACGUGACGUCACAGUGUAAGCUGUGCUGUGUGUUGUGAGUUCGGCUUCAACCAGCUACAAGUGAACGCCUCAUGAAAUGGCUUACACCCACAUACCCGGUAAAUUACACACUUUGAUGUUCUGCUCCUUCUCCUGACGGUCACGGUAACGAUGUCUGCGCCUCCAUUUCUGUGGAUGUACAGCGUGAGACACAACUUGAAUCCAACCAGACUGAACACUGACUCCAGGGACGGACGAGCCUGAAGGACACAGCUGUGAUGACCAAUUGACCAUGUUUUGUCUCUUAUGGCAAAGCAGAAAUAUUAAACACUGGGUUCUUAUCUAAAGUGUAUCAAAUCAGAAAGCAAAAGAUACACAUUGUUGUUAUAAGUUUUUAUUAUUUUAACCAACCAUAAUGAAGAUAGAAAUUAAUUCUUAUCCAUGCCACUUAGCAAUGACUGCCACCACCAAACAGUUGCAGGCCAUCUUUAUUUAAGGGAGGAAUUUAGAAGUGUUGUGUAGCUUCUGAUGAUGAUGCAGUCGUCUACGUGUUGACCACCAUGUUGCUGCUGACGACGUCAGGUGCUGCAGUUCCUCAUCUAUGAAGAGAAGAAACGCACUGUUAAAGAAUGUUUUGAGUUGUGUAUGAAGCACAACAGAUUUCAGAUAGAACCGUUGUACUGUGGUCUGGGUUUGUAUCCUAAUGGUUAAAUGCACAUAUUUUUAUCUAAGUCGCUUUUGAUAAAAGUACUGAAAGAAAUACAACAUUGUAAAAAUAGAUAAAAUGUCUUUCUACCUCAUCUGUAAUAUUCAAGGUGAUAAUCUCCCACAGAGCUAUUGAUAACAGUCCACAUCAAGUCUCUCCACUUCCCUCAGUGUGAAAACAUAAUUAUAUAAUUAAUUUGAGAACUGUUUACAACACUGAUGUGUGGAGAUUAAAAUCAUAUCUAAACUGUCUAAUUCACUGUAAAACUCCAUGACAUUCGCAGGCCAUCUGUAGUUAAGGGAGCAACGUAUGGAGUGAUGUGUAGAGGGCAGAAACUUGGACUAUGGGCAGAGAAGGUCUCUGGUUCGUCUCCGGUUUGACUCCACGGAGAGACAACAAAAGACAAACCUGGAUUGAUCUGUCCAAAAAUCCAAGAGUCUCCCUACCCUCUCUAGUGCCCCUGAGCAAGGCACCUCACUCCCCCAACAUCUGCUCCGUGAGCGCCGUACAUGGUCGCUCACUGCUCUGUGUGUCCUGCACCAGAUGGGUAAAAA